rnacentral:lncRNA from 1 species
GUAAUAUGAUGUCUUUCACUCUUUUAGGAAGAUGCCUAGGAGAAUGACUGGGUCAAAUAGAAUUUUUUUUUUUCUGGUACUGGGAAUUGAACUCAGGACCUUCUGCUUACCAGGCAGGUGCAGUACCACUGUGCCAAAUCCCUGGCCCUAGAGUUUCUAUUUUUAAUUUUUUGGGGAAUCUCCUUACUGAUUUCUAUAAUGGUUACACUAGUUUAGACUCCCACCAGCAAUGUAGAAGUUUCCUUUUUUCUCUGCAACCUCCUAGCCUUUGUUAUUAUUUCAUUUCUUUUUUGUUUUGUUUUGCUUUUUUUUUGAGACAGGAUCUUGCUUUGCAGUGCAGGCUGGCCUUGUACGCCUGGCAGUCCUCCUGCCUCAGCCUGCCAAGUGCUGUGACUACAGGCGUGUGCCCAGCAUUAUUUGAUUUCUUGAUGAUGGCCAUUCUUUCUGAGGGCAUGUGCUAG